rnacentral:pre_miRNA from 1 species
GGCGGGGGGCGGAUCCUGGUCUGUGUCCCGGUGCCCUGUGCUCCGGGGCCUGUGGUGUUGGAUUCGUGCUCCCGCCCCGCAGCCCCCU